rnacentral:rRNA from 1 species
UACAGAGGUCCCAAGCGUUGUUCGGAUUCACUGGGCGUAAAGGGUGCGUAGGUGGUCGGGUAAGUCUGAUGUGAAAUCUCCGAGCUCAACUCGGAAAUGGCAUUGGAUACUAUUCGGCUAGAGGAUUGGAGGGGGGACUGGAAUUCUCGGUGUAGCAGUGAAAUGCGUAGAUAUCGAGAGGAACACCAGUGGCGAAGGCGAGUCCCUGGACAACUCCUGACACUGAGGCACGAAAGCUAGGGGAGCAAACAGGAUUAGAAACCCCCGUAGUCC